GCCGGGGUGGCCGAGUGGUUAAGGCGCCGGUCUGGAGAACCGGUGGGGGAUCACCCCGCCUGGGUUCGAAUCCCAGCCCCGGCG
rnacentral:tRNA from 1 species